rnacentral:lncRNA from 1 species
UGCAUGGCAGGCCCCCGCAGAGGAUCAGUGCAGUGGCUGAACACCGGGAAGGAACUGGCGCUUGGAGUCCAGAUAUCUGGAAUACGGACUGAGCUCUGGGAUAAGAACAAAUGAGGAAGAGACAGUCACUGCCCUGGCAGCAAACACCCAUGGCCAGGGUUCCUCUAUCCAUCUGUGGGAAGACCCCAAGUUUGAUACUGAAGAUGUUAAACCAUCUCCAAAGAAAUACAGAAAUAUAUGGAUUCACCGUAGAAGCUGGACCCAGCUCCUCAGAUGCAGCAGAUGGAUUGGCCCACUCUGUAAUGACCCAG